rnacentral:sRNA from 1 species
UGAUAUGAAUAUGCUUCUUGAAUCCAGGC